rnacentral:tRNA from 1 species
ACUUAAUUAGUAUAAAAAGUAUUAUAGACUUCCAAUCUUUAGGUCUAAUCUUAGAUUAAGUA